rnacentral:tRNA from 1 species
GCCCUGUCCGCUCAGCGGAAGAGCAUCCGUCCGUCGAGCGGAGGGCCGCCGGUUCGAUCCCGGUACGGGGCG